AGCAUAGCCACGGUAAUACAGAGGGUGCGAGCGUUAAUCGGAUUUACUGGGCGUAAAGCGUGCGUAGGCGGCUUUUUAAGUCGGAUGUGAAAUCCCUGAGCUUAACUUAGGAAUUGCAUUCGAUACUGGGAAGCUAGAGUAUGGGAGAGGAUGGUAGAAUUCCAGGUGUAGCGGUGAAAUGCGUAGAGAUCUGGAGGAAUACCGAUGGCGAAGGCAGCCAUCUGGCCUAACACUGACGCUGAGGUACGAAAGCAUGGGGAGCAAACAGGAUUAGAUACCCCCGUAGUCCCUGUCUCUUAUACA
rnacentral:rRNA from 1 species